GGCCUUGACAUACUAAGAACUUUCCAGAGAUGGAUUGGUGCCUUCGGGAACUUAGAUACAGGUGCUGCAUGGCUGUCGUCAGCUCGUGUCGUGAGAUGUUGGGUUAAGUCCGCAACGAGCGCAACCCUUUUCCUUAUUUGCCAGCGGGUCAUGCCGGGAACUUUAAGGAUACUGCCAGUGACAAACUGGAGGAAGGCGGGGACGACGUCAAGUCAUCAUGGCCCUUACGGCCAGGGCUACACACGUGCUACAAUGGUCGGUACAAAGGGUUGCUACCUCGCGAGAGGAUGCUAAUCUCAAAAAGCCGAUCGUAGUCCGGAUCGCAGUCUGCAACUCGACUGCGUGAAGUCGGAAUCGCUAGUAAUCGCGGAUCAGAAUGCCGCGGUGAAUACGUUCCCGGGCCUUGUACACACCGCCCGUCACACCAUGGGGGUUUGUUGCACCAGAAGUAGGUAGUCUAACCGCAAGGAGGACGCUUACCACGGUGUGGCCGAUGACUGGGGUGAAGUCGUAACAAGGUAAGCGUAGAUGA
rnacentral:rRNA from 1 species